AUUGAACGCUGGCGGCAUGCUUUACACAUGCAAGUCGAACGGUAACAGGCCGCAAGGUGCUGACGAGUGGCGAACGGGUGAGUAAUGCAUCGGAACGUGCCCAGUCGUGGGGGAUAACGCAGCGAAAGCUGCGCUAAUACCGCAUACGAUCUAUGGAUGAGAGCGGGGGACCGUAAGGCCUCGCGCGAUUGGAGCGGCCGAUGUCAGAUUAGGUAGUUGGUGGGGUAAAGGCUCACCAAGCCAACGAUCGGUAGCUGGUCUGAGAGGACGACCAGCCAGACUGGGACUGAGACACGGCCCAGACUCCUACGGGAGGCAGCAGUGGGGAAUUUUGGACAAUGGACGCAAGCCUGAUCCAGCAAUGCCGCGUGCAGGAAGAAGGCCUUCGGGUUGUAAACUGCUUUUGUACGGAACGAAACGGUCCUGGUUAAUACCUGGGGCUAAUGACGGUACCGUAAGAAUAAGCACCGGCUAACUACGUGCCAGCAGCCGCCGUAACAC
rnacentral:rRNA from 1 species